CAGCUUGGUGAUGGCCGUUCUCGUCUCUUUUGGACAGAUCGCUGGGUUCCCGGCCGCUGCAUCGCCGAGCUUGCGCAGCUUAUCUUCAUGACGGUCCCUCAACGACGCCGCAAAUCCCGCACUAUUCAAGAAGGUUUACAACUUCCAUCAUGGGUAUAGGAUAUCCAGGGUGCCCUUGGCCCUGCCGUCAUGGUCCAGUAUGUCGAGCUUUGGCGCUUGCUCCGCCACUCCCACCUCUCAGAUAUCCCAGACAAACUAGUCUGGCGUUGGACCGAGCCCGAGUUUACGCCACCGCUUCUUGCUACUCUGCCAUGUUCAUUGGCUCGCUGUCGGACCCACAUCGGCGUCCAACUUGGAAAACUUAGGCGCCUCUGA
rnacentral:rRNA from 1 species